AUGAUGAACGCUAGCUACAGGCUUAGCACAUGCAAGUCGAGGGGCAUCAGGAAGAAAGCUUGCUUUCUUUGCUGGCGACCGGCGCACGGGUGAGUAACACGUAUCCAACCUGCCCUUUACUCGGGGAUAGCCUUUCGAAAGAAAGAUUAAUACCCGAUGGCAUAAUGAUUCCGCAUGGUUUCAUUAUUAAAGGAUUCCGGUAAAGGAUGGGGAUGCGUUCCAUUAGGUUGUUGGUGAGGUAACGGCUCACCAAGCCUUCGAUGGAUAGGGGUUCUGAGAGGAAGGUCCCCCACAUUGGAACUGAGACACGGUCCAAACUCCUACGGGAGGCAGCAGUGAGGAAUAUUGGUCAAUGGGCGCUAGCCUGAACCAGCCAAGUAGCGUGAAGGAUGAAGGCUCUAUGGGUCGUAAACUUCUUUUAUAUAAGAAUAAAGUGCAGUAUGUAUACUGUUUUGUAUGUAUUAUAUGAAUAAGGAUCGGCUAACUCCGUGCCAGCAGCCGCGGUAAUACGGAGGAUCCGAGCGUUAUCCGGAUUUAUUGGGUUUAAAGGGAGCGUAGGUGGACUGGUAAGUCAGUUGUGAAAGUUUGCGGCUCAACCGUAAAAUUGCAGUUGAUACUGUCAGUCUUGAGUACAGUAGAGGUGGGCGGAAUUCGUGGUGUAGCGGUGAAAUGCUUAGAUAUCACGAAGAACUCCGAUUGCGAAGGCAGCUCACUGGACUGCAACUGACACUGAUGCUCGAAAGUGUGGGUAUCAAACAGGAUUAGAUACCCUGGUAGUCCACACAGUAAACGAUGAAUACUCGCUGUUUGCGAUAUACAGUAAGCGGCCAAGCGAAAGCAUUAAGUAUUCCACCUGGGGAGUACGCCGGCAACGGUGAAACUCAAAGGAAUUGACGGGGGCCCGCACAAGCGGAGGAACAUGUGGUUUAAUUCGAUGAUACGCGAGGAACCUUACCCGGGCUUAAAUUGCAGUGGAAUGAUGUGGAAACAUGUCAGUGAGCAAUCACCGCUGUGAAGGUGCUGCAUGGUUGUCGUCAGCUCGUGCCGUGAGGUGUCGGCUUAAGUGCCAUAACGAGCGCAACCCUUAUCUUUAGUUACUAACAGGUUAUGCUGAGGACUCUAGAGAGACUGCCGUCGUAAGAUGUGAGGAAGGUGGGGAUGACGUCAAAUCAGCACGGCCCUUACGUCCGGGGCUACACACGUGUUACAAUGGGGGGUACAGAAGGCAGCUAGCGGGUGACCGUAUGCUAAUCCCAAAAGCCUCUCUCAGUUCGGAUCGAAGUCUGCAACCCGACUUCGUGAAGCUGGAUUCGCUAGUAAUCGCGCAUCAGCCACGGCGCGGUGAAUACGUUCCCGGGCCUUGUACACACCGCCCGUCAAGCCAUGGGAGCCGGGGGUACCUGAAGUACGUAACCGCAAGGAUCGUCCUAGGGUAAAACU
rnacentral:rRNA from 1 species